AAUUUCAGCAAGUUAACGUUCUUUAUUGCAGCUCUCGUUGCUUUAGUUUAUUUGACUGAGGCAGGUCUGACUGCCGAAAGAGCGAGUCCUUGCCUGCAAUUAUGUCGUGAGGGUAUUCAUAGUUGUGAUAAUACUAAAGACCUAGUGUGGGCUAUAGUGGAUAACCAAUGCCUCGUAUUCCAAAACAGAUGCUGGCUCAGAAAUUUUAAUUGCCAACGCAUCAGCAAUUGCCUCCCAACCGUUCCACAAAGCACACAAACAGAAUGCAGUCAGUAUUGCAACCGCCCAUGCUUCUCCAUCGAUUACCAAGGAGUGUGCGCAAAUUUCCGCGAUGGCUACGGAAUUCAUGGAACUAACAGAUAUUUCGGAAGCAAAUGUGAUGCAGAUAGAUACGCAUGUGAGAAUGCUGUUGCCUAUACUCACAUAGCUACAGGUCCAUGUCCUUAGAUCAUCAACCAAAAAUAUUAAGUAUGCUGC